AAACCAACAGGGAUUGCCUUAGUAGCGGCGAGUGAAGCGGCAAAAGCUCAAAUUUGAAAUCUGGUACCUUCGGUGCCCGAGUUGUAAUUUGAAGAAAGCAAUCUUGGAUUUGGCCUUUGUCUAUGUUCCUUGGAACAGGACGUCAUAGAGGGUGAGAAUCCCGUCUGAUGAGGUGUCCAUUUCUAUGUAAGAUGUUUUCGAAGAGUCGAGUUGUUUGGGAAUGCAGCUCUAAGUGGGUGGUAAAUUCCAUCUAAAGCUAAAUAUUGGCGAGAGACCGAUAGCGAACAAGUACUGUGAAGGAAAGAUGAAAAGAACUUUGAAAAGAGAGUGAAAAAGUACGUGAAAUUGUUGAAAGGGAAGGGUAUUAGAUCAGACUUGGUAUUUAGUUAUCAUUGCUCCUUGUGGGUGGUGCUCUAGCUUUUUACUGGGCCAGCAUCAGUUUUGGUGGUAAGAUAAUGACAGUUGAACGUGGCUCCUCGGAGUGUUAUAGCUUCUGUUGAUAUUACCUACCGGGACUGAGGUCUGCGGCUUUUGCCUAGGAUGCUGGCGUAAUGAUCCAAUACCGCCCGU
rnacentral:rRNA from 1 species